UACGUAGGGGGCAAGCGUUGUCCGGAUUUAUUGGGCGUAAAGAGCUCGUAGGCGGUGUGUCACGUCGGCCGUGAAAACCUGCAGCUUAACUGUGGGCGUGCGGUCGAUACGGGCAUCACUGGAGUUCGGCAGGGGAGACUGGAAUUCCUGGUGUAGCGGUGAAAUGCGCAGAUAUCAGGAGGAACACCGGUGGCGAAGGCGGGUCUCGGGGCCGAUACUGACGCUGAGGAGCGAAAGCGUGGGGAGCAAACAGG
rnacentral:rRNA from 1 species